rnacentral:ncRNA from 1 species
AUGAAGAAUUUGAGAGAGAUUGUAAUGUUGAUACAACGCCGAAGGGGCUUAAAAACUCUCAGGCAAAGGGAUCAAAUUUGGACG